AGUGGCGCACCCAGGGGGUGGUUUGGGUGUUAAAACCCCUCCCACCGGCCACCAGUACAUACAAAGAAUAGUAGGAAAAUACAAAUCGGAGAUCCAAAAGUUUUUUUGAUCCAAAAUUGAGUGAUUUGAAAUGGAAUCACCCGUAAUUAUAUGGUAUAAGUUCUUGGCUUGUGGCAGGUGUCGUCCAUUGACGAUUGACGACUCUCUGGAAUUGACCUAGCAGCUUGGUCUUCUGGCCAAAGUCUUUUUAGGCUUAGGAGUCUGUCAAUCACUGGAGGGUUUUGAAUUUUAAACUUUAUCGCAGAGUAAAUGUUGAAAAAUACUUUUUAUUGUACCUAUUAUAUUAUAUAAACAAUGAAAUAUUAUUCUGGUCCAGAUAAUAAAAAUAUUAUUUAUAACAAUUAUUAAA
rnacentral:lncRNA from 1 species